rnacentral:misc_RNA from 1 species
GUUUUUUCUUUAUUAUGCAUAUGUGUAUACAACAAAUACAUUAUUUUAUAAUUUAUCUAGCAUCUCAAAUGUGUAUAUAAAGCUAUCCAGCUGCAAUUCCAUCUUGUUGUUCUCAAUUGUGGUUAUAUAUGUUGUCUUCAGUACUGUAACUAGGAAACUUUUCAUGUGUGAAACAUGCCCUUUAAUUUCGUCGUAUGAAAUUGGCAUGGCUAUUUUUCCCAUAUCCAUUCUCCAUUUUUGUUUGAGGAAUGAUCACAAAUAGAUAAAUGCUUCAAAGCUUAUAUUCAUAAAAAAUAAAAAUAAAAAUGAAGAUUUGGAAUGGUAUAUAGCAGGUUUUCAUUGGCUACUGGAUCAAUAUUUUACUUUAUUUUUUCAUUUAUCACUUCCAAAGAGAAAAGGUAAAUCUUCAUAGUAGGCCUUGCAUGUGUUGCCCAUCUGGUGAUUUCAGCAAUGAUGUUUAUGGAACGUAUGGUCAGCAAUUACUUGAUUUAUAUAUGGUCAAGAAAUUGUGCUGCUAGUUUCACUCUUGAUCUCACACUAACAGAAAACUUUAUGUCAUGGCCAGUUCAUUUUGCAAUGGCUAAUGUCAACUGUCCAAUUUGUGAAUGAACGUGCUAAUUGAAUCCAGUCUGUAUGACUAAACUGAUCAGACUAAUGCAAAUGUGUAGAUACACUGCAAAUGCAUAUGGUGAUUAAUAUCAAGCCAACAAUUGUUUUACUGAGGUCAUCAAUUUUCAUAUAAAAUGGCUACAUAGAGGCGUGCUGUUAUUUUUUCAUGGGCAUCCAAUGCCCUGUGAGUAACUUUCUGGUGUUAACUUUCUGUUCAGCUGCUAUGGUAGUUGAUUUGAUUUUGAUCAACAUAUUUAUAUCCCAGAGUGGUUAGCCUGGUCUAUGAGAUAACGUUAAUGUGAAACUAGCUUCUGCCAGGCCUGCAGUAAAGUUGGAGCUGCUGGAUCUGACCCAAUACUAAACAAAAUCCCAGAUUUCAAAGAUGCAUGCUGGAGAUUUCUAAGGCCCCAUACGAUCCGUGGAACAGCUCUAGGGUCCACUGCUUUGGUGGCAAGAGCAUUACUUGAGAAUUCAAAUCUGAUAAAGUGGUCACUGCUGUUGAAGGCAUUCUCUGGCCUUUUUGCUCUAAUAUGUGGAAAUGGUUAUAUAGUUGGCAUCAAUCAGAUCUAUGAUAUUGGAAUUGACAAGGUUAAUAAACCUUAUUUACCUAUAGCCGCAGGGGAUCUUUCAGUUCAAUCUGCAUGGUUACUGGUGACAUUUUUCGCAGUGACUGGAUUCCUUGUUGUUGGAUUAAACUUUGGUCCAUUCAUCACUUCUCUUUACUGCCUUGGUCUUUUCUUGGGCACCAUCUACUCUGUUCCUCCAUUUAGAAUGAAGAGAUUUGCUGUUGUGGCAUUUCUCAUAAUUGCUACGGUGCGCGGUUUUCUUCUCAAUUUUGGAGUAUAUCAUGCCACAAGAGCUGCGCUUGGACUUCCAUUUGAGUGGAGCUCACCUGUGGCAUUCAUCACAAUCUUUGUAACUUUGUUUGCGCUGGUUAUUGCCAUAACGAAAGAUCUUCCAGAUGUAGAGGGGGAUCGCAAGUACAAGAUAUCAACUUUGGCAACAAAUCUUGGAGUUAGAAACAUUGCAUUUCUUGGGACUGGGCUUUUGCUGUUGAAUUACAUUGGUGCCGUGUGGGCAGCAAUUUACAUGCCUCAGGCUUUCAGGCGUAGCCUAAUGAUACCUGCACAUACAAUCCUAGCAGCAUGCCUGAUAUUCCAGGCAUGGCUGUUAGAACGAGCAAAUUACACAAAGGAAGCAAUCUCUGCAUUCUAUCGGUUUAUAUGGAAUCUCUUUUAUGCUGAAUAUAUCAUAUUUCCUUUUAUAUAGAUGAAUUUGCAUUUCUUUAGCCUUUUCCAGAGCACAGAGAGAGAGAGAGAGAGAGA